rnacentral:misc_RNA from 1 species
CAAUAAUUGCGUGAAUUAGGGCUAGGACUCUCUUCGUCUUUCUCUCAAUUCUUCUUUCGUUUCUUCAAAUCAGACCCUAAUCCUAAGUACCAGCCAUGUCUUCCAAGCAAGGUGGAAAAGCAAAGCCUUUGAAGCAGCCCAAGGCUGAAAAGAAGGAUUACGAUGAGACUGAUACGGCAAACAUUCAGAAGAAAAAGGAAGAGGAAAAGGCACUUAAGGAGCUUAGGGCCAAGGCAGCACAGAAAGGAACUUUCGGAGGUUCUGGGCUCAAGAAGAGUGGAAAGAAAUGAGGGUUUUCAAACCCAUAUGAGAAUAGAAUAUAUUGAUUCAUGGCGAAUGAUUACGGAUUGUAUUAUGACAUCUUUUCUUUAGUGUUGGCUUGUGACAUCCUUUGCUUAACAUCACAUGAUGGUGUACUGUCAUGCUAAAUGCAUCUUAACCUUGAGUCAAUGUCAUUAUGUGAAACUCGAUGAAUCUUUCCUGCUCUUGUUUACGUUUCUUGUGCCAAAGUUACAUUUGUUUACAUUUAUUUUUAAUCAGACAUCACCGAAGAUUUCUAGGGAUGAAUCUUUUUUGGUGCUUCCUUGCAUUUAGUGUUGUGAAAUGGAAAUUCAUAAUACAAUCG